rnacentral:rRNA from 1 species
GACGAACGCUGGCGGCGUGCUUAACACAUGCAAGUCGAGCGGUAAGGCCCUUUCGGGGGUACACGAGCGGCGAACGGGUGAGUAACACGUGGGUGACCUGCCCUCAGCUCUGGGAUAAGCCUGGGAAACCGGGUCUAAUACUGGAUAUGACUCCAUGACGCAUGUUGUGGGGUGGAAAGCCUUGUGCGGCUGAGGAUGGGCCCGCGGCCUAUCAGCUUGUUGGUGGGGNGAUGGCCUACCAAGGCGACGACGGGUAGCCGGCCUGAGAGGGCGACCGGCCACACUGGGACUGAGAUACGGCCCAGACUCCUACGGGAGGCAGCAGUGGGGAAUCUUGCGCAAUGGGCGAAAGCCUGACGCAGCGACGCCGCGUGAGGGAUGACGGCCU